rnacentral:rRNA from 1 species
UUAAUAUUAAUAGUUAUGUUCUUUAAAUUAAAAGAAUUUGGCGGUUAUUUAAUCUUUCUAGAGGAACCUGUCCUGUAAUUGAUAAUCCACGAUUGAUUUUACUUUAAUUAUACUUAUAUAUCGCUGUCAUUGAAUGUUUUAUAAGAUUAUUUUCUCUUAUUUUUAUGAAUAUAAUGUUAGGUCAAGAUGUAGUUAUAUUAAAGAAGAGAUGGGUUACAUUUAUAUAAUUAAUGGAUUGAAAUUUGAAAUAUUUUUUCAUUAAAUUGGAUUUAGGUGUAAUUUUUAUAAAAUAAUAAUUUUGAUUUUAGUUCUAAAUAAUGUACACAUCGCCCGUCACUCCCAUUAUGAGUUGGGAUAAGUCGUAACAAAGUAGGCCUACCGGAAGGUGGGCCUGGUUAGU